GGGCCUGUAGCUCAGUGGUCAGAGCGUCCCGCUCAUAACGGGAGGGUCGUAGGUUCAAAUCCUACCAGGCCCA
rnacentral:tRNA from 1 species